GGGGGGGGGGGGGGGGGGGCGGGGGGCGGGCGGGGCGGGCGGGGGGGCCGGGCGGGGGUGGGGUGCGCGGGGGGCGGAGGGGGGGGUGACACGGGAGCAACCUGCCCUCGACUUUGGGAUGACGUCAGGAAACUGGGGCUAAUACCGGAUAGGAGCCCCCGCUGCAUGGUGGGGGUUGGACAGUUUCGGCGGUCGGGGAUGGACUCGCGGCUUAUCAGCUUGUUGGUGGGGGAGUGGCCGACCCAGGCCUGGACGGGUAGCCGGCCUGCGAGGGGGGCCGGCCACAUUGGGACUGAGAUACGGCCCAGACUCGUACGGGAGGCAGCGGGGGGGAGUAUUGCACAAUGGGCGGAAGCCUGAUGCGGCGGCGCCGCGGGCGGGAUGACGGCCUGCGGGUUGUAAACCGCUUUCGCCUGUGACGAAGCGUGAGUGACGGUAAUGGGUAAAGAAGCACCGGCUAACUACGUG
rnacentral:rRNA from 1 species